UACGGAGGAUCCAAGCGUUAUCCGGAUUUAUUGGGUUUAAAGGGUGCGUAGGUGGUUCAUUAAGUCAGGGGGUGAAAGACGGCAGCUUAACUGUCGCAGUGCCUUUGAUACUGAUGAACUUGAAUGAACUAGAGGUAGGCGGAAUGUGACAAGUAGCGGUGAAAUGCAUAGAUAUGUCACAGAACACCAAUUGCGAAGGCAGCUUACUAUGGUUUGAUUGACACUGAGGCACGAAAGCGUGGGGAUCAAACAGG
rnacentral:rRNA from 1 species